AAAGGGGCGCGAGGCCACGCCCCGGUGCGGGCGGCCCGGCCUGAGAGGCGCCGCCUGGGCCCUUCCCGCCCACGGGGCCCAGCGCCGCAGGGAGAUUGGCCACAGAAGCCCACCCCCACCUCAGCCAGCUGGGCCCAGUGUCAGGCCAGGGGGCAGAUCCAUACGUCUCCAGUGGCUUCUUUCCUCCUCGAGGAACCGCUGCGUUGCGGAGGGCUGGCUCGCUUCACGCCUGGCGUUUGCGCGAGGCGGUUGAGCGCGCCCACCUGCGGCAAAGGUGGACGCGGCGGCACGAGGCGGCCGGUAGAUGCAAUUGCGUGCCGGGUGCUUCCAGCGAAGAAGACCCGGAGAAUUGGGCCUACCACGUGUAGCGGAGUUGGCUUGCCUGCCACCGCCUCGCAUAUAACAUGAGUGUAUAUGUGCACGUGCUCCUGUGAGACGGAUUUCCAGAUCGUAGCCUGUUUGGAGUGGGUUUCAAGCCGUGGGACCGUGUGUUUUAGGCCCAACCCUUCCAUUGGCUGCCAGCGAUAAUUCUGCAGUUCGCAGCCACGCACCUGAGCAUGCUGGGAACAGACCGGAGGUUUCUAAUACGCCCGACAGGUUUCGUUCUCAGAGCCCCCCCACAAAGUUGUAUGUUUGGCCCUGCUCUCUCUAGCGUAGAUCCCACUUUGUUCCUCAAGACUCAUCUAUCAAAAGUGACAACUUGAUGAUUUGUAGACAGUGCAGCUGAGAACUUGUCAAGCAUCAUUCAUAUGAUUUGCUCAUUAACUGCUUCAGUGUUGUCGUAAUGUGCCAGGCAUGACAUUUUUAACCUUCCAUGUUUGAUACUACCUCAAUUUUGAUGUUGCCCAGAGGCCAAAUUUACCUGAGAAAAAAACACCAGAGAAAGAAAAAAUAAGGAAGCUGCUAUGCAAGAAGAGGUGAAAUAUCAUCACUGCUGGCAGUCGGUGCAGAAGGUGGGAAGUGCGGUGAACCCCUCACUUCUGUUCUUGACUUUGCUGUUCAUAUCCUGUGUGCAAUGCCCGUCUUUUUGGAAAGAGAGAAAUCUAGGAGAGUUCACGGUUGUUUCUGCAGUUGAAGUUCUAAUUGUACAUGUAAUUACUGCAAAGCAGUGAAGAAAAGCAAAUUGUACAGCUGAUUGGGACCGUGGGGACACCUAUUACAGCAUGUGUGUGCAAAUCCAUGAUCUGUGCUUCUAUUGUAGUAACUGAUCAGAUUCUUAUUUUGGUUACAUCAGUAUAAAUCGAUUUACCAAGCAUGAAGAAUUAUGGGUCUGCUAAACAUAAAGAAUCUGAUAGGUUUGUGUCUCCUUUUCAUUGGCACAAAUGUGUAAAUACACACAGCUGUAUAACCAGACUGUUCAAGUUUAUCUAAUUUUGAAGGUUUGAACUGUGUCUGUGUACGCUCCAGAGUAAUAAAGUUUUGUGUUAUAGACCCA